ensembl:ncRNA K10F12.9 ncRNA
CAAAUCACUUGAAACAUUUGAUCUUUUGUCAUCCAUCAUAUGAUGUGCAGAAAAUCAUCUCUCAAGUUCCCGGA